GUGUUGGUGGUGUAGUGGUAACGCAUGCUGUGGCAACAGUCGCAUCCACGGCAAGUCCUAGGUUCGAUUCCUAGCCAACAUA